AAAAAAAAAGAAUAUAGUCGACAUGUUAAGAACCAUAUAGUUUAUUAAGAACUAAAAAAAAAAAAAAUUCCUAUGUUUAUAAAUAGAUUUCCGGAUAUACUUUUCUUGGAAAAAAAAAACAACGUGUACGGUGUAACGCAUUCCGAAAUCGACUACCGGUGUGUUCCAAUCUUCCUUGUACAAAGGAAGAAAUUGUUUCAUAGAUGACGAAUUUAUCCUUUUUCCUAUCCCCUCUGUGUUUAAUUUUUUUUUCACUAACGAUGAUCAGUGACGUCUGCGGAGGUAGCGCCUUACACAGACCGGUGCAUCGGAUAAUAUUUCAACCGAGAAAAAGGUCCCCUCAUCAAAACUGCUUAGCUGGACAGUUCUUCAGUGACUCAUUGAAUCAGUGCCAAACAUGUCCACAAGGGACAUUUAGGACAGAGUCAAUGGCACGGGAUGCCAGGCUGGAUGGUCAUUGUCAAGUUUGCGAUAUAGCAGACGACACAGCAAUAGUGCGGCAUCCAUGUAACGCGACAAGCAACGCUGUAAUUGGCUGCAUGGAAAAAUACCAUAAAGUGAGAGUGGAAGACAACAUCUACCAAUGCAAGGCAUGCUCCACGUGCGGUCUAGGAGUUGACCUCUUCCGAGACUUCGAGGUACGCCCAUGCACAGAAGAGGUGGACGCCCUAUGUUGUUACGAGGCCCACGACGUGCUCUGGAAAGGUCAGUGCACCCAUAGAGAUGACGUUCCAGUAACAACGACUUCGACCCACGUCAACAGGGAGACUCAGUCCACUGUAGGUAAAAAUGUUUCAGCCCUUCACGGGCAACUAUUACGGUCCUCUAAUCCACAUAUAAAUGGUUCUGUGGCAGCAAAUGACUCAAUAUUGCUACAUUGUAAGUUUGUUAUGACUUUAUCAUAUAUAAUAAUAAAAAUAAAUUUUUAUUUGUUAGUCGAUUGAUAGUCACUUAUUGUUAGGACAAUCUAUUUUUUACAAGGCUUAUAUCAACUCACUCUGUCUAUCUGCCUGUCUGUCUGUCUGUCGGUAUGGUAAAAAGUUUGUAUAAGUUGUUUCUCUCACACUUAAACUCGAGUUCAGCUGAAAUAUUUCACGAUUAUUUCUUUUACCUGACAACAUAAGAAUAAAAAAAAUAUUAACCAAUUUUUUAAUGAACUAUUGGUAAUUAAUUAUUUUGUUAGUUUAAACAAGGGAAAGAAAUCGUACUUGACAGAGGUGGUGGUAUAAGUUGAAGUAAUCCCACCGAGGACUCAGUUCUGAGUGAACAUCUAUAUAUAUAAUUCUCUUCUUCCCUCAAAGAGUUUUGUCGAGCUGUAAGGACUGAAGGAAAGAUCACUCUGCGGAUAGUCCACGAGAAAACAAGAGGGGGAGGGGGGGGAGAACACGUAGUCACAAAAUAGCAGGGCAGGACCGUUGCAAUAUCACCCUUUUUAUUAUUAUUUCUACCUCACGUUAAAAAAAAAGGGGGGGGGGAGUAAUCUACUUUGUAGUAACUAUCGAGGCGACAAAGCACGCUCAAAAGUUUGGACACAAUGGAAAGAUCACUCUUUUAUUUUUGCAACUCGGACGGAGGGAGUUAUCCUAGGUAAUUUAAGAGCGAAAAAAAAGAGAAUUUUCGUCUGUAUAUUUCAGGAGAUUUGUAUGAGUUUUCAAAAAGAUUUUUAAUAAUUUCCGGAUAUUUCCAGGGCUUUUUUCGUAUAUUUUGCAAUUUCAGGAGAUUCCCAGGACCUCCUGACAGGAGGCCGAGGGAAAUCUGUUAUAAGUUAUAAAAUGGUUUAAUUUAAUAAUUUAUACACCUAAAAUUAGCGCGGAUCCUAUAAAAGUGCUGGGCCCACUGAGGUCGCAUAGGUUGCAGUUGCCCUGUAAAAUAGCGGCUUAUGAUACGCCUCCGGUCGACUAGUUUUUUUUUUUUUAUGCAUUUAAACAAACGGUCAUUCACCAAGAUUAACUCCCUUUUCCUUCCUCAUUUCACAACUGGUCAGACAAGUUAUAGGAUUAUUAUUCAUAUGGGAAGAUAAAAGCUAAACAAAAACUAUUGGUAAAAAUAUUUCUAAUCGCACCUAUUUAUUAUGUCUAGGCCAUCACAAUGUCAAAAGUACAUGAAUUAUCCAAUCUAAUUAAUACAAUUAGGCCUAAUAUAAGCUUUGCUUUUUUAAAAGUAAUUUUUUUUAGUUUUCUUGUUCAAUUAAAUAUAAGGACCAUGAGGAAAUUAGGCCUUCGCUAAAACUGCCAUAUUUACAUACAUACGUUCAAUAUUUCAGUGUAUCAUCGAAAAUAGUGUUCAAUUAAUUCAUUUAAGAUAUGCAUUUAAUAAAUAAUGGGCAUUGCCUUCGAGUCCGAAGGUAAAGGAUGAGUGUAGUAUUUCUCGUGAAUACAGAGACCCUAUAGCAACCUACAUAAUUUGACACACCUGUUACAGACUAGGCCAUUAUCCGCCGGGUCAAUUAUGAUCCUCUGUUUACCGUCUGCGAUGUCUUCGGCAAAAGUUUCUCUUUAGGGUGUUAAAUGUGUCUAGCAACACUUGUAAAGAGUUCUCUCUCUCUCUCUCUCUCUCUCUCUCUCUCUCUCUUAGGAUCUCCUUGCUGCCAGCUGUUUUCAGCUAUGCAUUUAUAUUUAAUAAACAUCGAAUACAGACGUUCCUUACUAGAAGAAGAUAAUUAGGGCGUACAUGUAUCAAUGUGUUAAUCAAGGCACGCAAGAUUAUUGGAGACUGAACUCAAUUGAUUGAUUGAAUAUGAAAUGAAUUUUCCAAGUGUUUCCUCAACGCAACAUUCUGUGUUCAUUGCAAAGCCUUUAUCAACUCUGUCUGUCUGGAACAAAUUGUUUUACAAGUUAUUUCUCCCAUUUACCAUUCUCGGAUCAAGUUGAAACUUUGCUGAUAUAUUCAUUGUCGAUGACAACACAGGAAUCAAUUGAUAAUUUGACCAUAUUGUUUUAUCAAUUACUUGUAAUACUUUUUUUUAAUUACAUAGAGACAAGUCUAGCUAAAAGGAGAUAAGCCUUGUGUACAGAAUUAGGUCCUUACCUAAAUAUUUGAAACGAACGAUAGAUAGCGAUACAUCCUUCUAUUUUCUUAAGCACUUGUCUACCUCAGUGGCCAGCGUGUCGGCCUUCCACCAAUUAGGCUUGAGCCUUUGAGUUCGAAUUCAAGUCGAGAAACAUUUUAUACAAAGCUUAUCUCUGUCUGUCUGUUUGUCUGUCUAGUAAAAAGUGUGUACACGUUAUUUCUCCCACAACCAUUCUCGGAACAAGCUGAUGAAACUUCCCACUAUUAUUCAUUGACAUAAACAAGACAUAAUUCAAUAACAAAAGUAAACAAUAAGACAAUCUUCUUCCUCGUUCUCAUUUUUAUGUUGGAGCAUUCAGAUGACUAGACCAAUAUAUGAGAUGAAAUGCACAGUGGUUUCCAGAUCAGUUCAGUCUCCAUAUAGUUUUCUUUCUAUAAGGCAAUUAAUUAUUGAUAAUUAUUUUGUUUAAUACUUUAGUAUUCCCAGAUAUGGCUAAAUUUGUUACAUUUAGUCCACAUUAAUAAUUGUCAACGCCAAUUCUCCCUCACGCGUUCUUCGAUCAAGGUGAUACUUAUAUAUUAUUUAUUGUACCUAACGAAACACGAAUUAAUAAACAAAAAUACUCAAUCAUUCAAUUACUUAGUUGUAAUUAAUUAUUUUGUUUGAUAUCGAAUAAGGCAAAUCAAUUGUUCAUUUAAGGACGGAGUUCUUCCCCUUUAAGCUUUGUUGCUUUUUUUUUAAAUAAAAAAAAAGGGGGAUUUGAAAAAUAUUUUGCUUGUUUUAAUUGCUUUAUUUAAAAUCCGAUUCGAAAGCAUUGUUCCAGAUAUCCCAUCCUCCCACGCCACCCCCCUCUCCAACUGGUCCACAAAAGUGAUUGGUGAUUGGACCAUAGCGCAUUAAGCAGGUAUUAAAACAAACUAUUGAUAAAAAUAUUUCUAUUUCGCAUUGUUAAUCUAUUGUUAUUUUAAAUCUAUUAAAAUUUAUUGCCGGAUUGAUAUAAAACAAUUGAUACAAUUACACUUAAUACACAGAUUUAUUGUUUUAACUCUUUCUCUCCUUAAUUAUUCUCGAAGUUCCGAUGGAAUUAUUCAUUUUGCUCAUUUGUGUUUCACUACCCUGUCAUGAUUACACUUUAAUAACGUUUGUGUAUGUAAUCAGGAAAUGUUAUAGUAGGUCUAGUUUAUAAAAUGAAAAAUUAAUUUAAUUGAAUGGGUUCAAAUCAACGUUGGUAUCGUCAGUUCGGAGGGAAAGAGUUAAAACUUUUUCAAAAUAUUAUACUUCUAUUACGGUCGUGUAAGGAAAAUGAGGUAGUCUAGGCGAAUCAAGUCGCGGUAUUGAUUCAAAGCCCAUGAGCUGAAUUCUUUGCGAAGAGUGUUGAGACUGAACAGCUAGAGUAAAAAAAAUCUACACUUAUCAGCCUCUCUAUCAUUGUAUCCAUGCUUGUAUCGUUAUGCUUCUGUAUAAUCGCAUCUGUUCCUGUAUCAUGGAAGCUGCAUCUUUGUAUCAGAUGUUCAAGUCUUGGUAUCAUUGUUGAUCUCGCCAUGUUAUUGUGUGUACUAAUUUCGCAUGUGUCUUUGUAUCAAUGUGUGUCUUUGUAUCAUUUGUGUCUCUGUCAAUGUGUUUCUUUGUAUCAAUGUGUGUCUUUGUAUCAUUUGUGUCUCUAUCAAUGUGUGUCUUUGUAUCAAUGUGUGUCUUUGUAUCAAUGUGUGUCUUUGUAUCAAUGUGUGUCUUUGUAUCAAUGUGUGUCUUUGUAUCAAUGUGUAUCUGUGUAUCAAUGUGUGUCUUUGUAUCAAUAUGUGUCUUUAUAUCAUUUGUGUCUCUAUCAAUGUGUGCCUGUGUAUCAAUGUGUAUCUUUGUAUCAAUAUGUGUCUUUGUAUCAGUUUGUGUCUCUGUAUCAAUGUGUGUCUCUGUAUCAAUGUGUGUCUAUGUAUCAAUGUGUGUCUUUGUAUCAAUAUGUGCCUCUGUAUCAGUAUGUGUCUUUGUAUCAACAUAUGUGUUUCUCUCUCUCUCUCUCUUUUACGCGCUCUCUUUCUCUCAUUCUCUUUCAUGCUCUCUUUCUCUCUCUCACCCCCUCUCUUCCUCUCUCUGUCUCUCUAUCUCUCAUUCUCUCACUCUUGAUUUAAUUAUUGUUUACCAUUGCUAUAGUAAUUCAUUUCCUCUUCGCCAAAAAUAAUUUAUUUGGAGAAUGUCAUUGUUACUCCCCAUUGUAGUGUUUUUACCUAUUUGUAA